AUUGAACGCUGGCGGCAUGCCUCACACAUGCAAGUCGAACGGCAGCACGGGAGCAAUCCUGGUGGCGAGUGGCGAACGGGUGAGUAAAGUAUCGGAACGUGCCCAGUCGUGGGGGAUAACGUAGCGCAAGUUACGCUAAUACCGCAUACGAUCUAUGGAUGAAAGCGGGGGAUCGCAAGACCUCGCGCGAUUGGAGCGGCCGAUAUCAGAUUAGGCAGUUGGUGGGGUAAAGGCUCACCAAGCCGACGAUCUGUAGCUGGUCUGAGAGGACGACCAGCCACACUGGGACUGAGACACGGCCCAGACUCCUACGGGAGGCAGCAGUGGGGAAUUUUGGACAAUGGGCGAAAGCCUGAUCCAGCCAUGCCGCGUGCAGGAUGAAGGCCUUCGGGUUGUAAACUGCUUUUGUACGGAACGAGAAGGUUUGGGCUAAUAAGCUGAGCUCAUGACGGUACCGUAAGAAUAAGCACCGGCUAACUACGUGCCAGCCGCCGCCGUAA
rnacentral:rRNA from 1 species